AGAAUUAGAUCAUACUGUUUCCACUGGCACAUCUAUGGUAGUUUUCUGUCCACUAUGUCUUUGUUUACGGCAGGCACUGCAGUUCCGUUUCUGUUCCUGUGAGUUGUUGGGGUUCAGUGGAAUAAUAUGUUUGCAGAAGUAUAACUGUAACCCAACUGCAAAUAAACAUGAAAUAAUACGGUUGUCUACUGGGUUAUAGCGCAGUGUGGAGUAUUAGAAGUUUAGAGUUCUCACAUACUCUGAUCAGGCUGGAAAAAACUACAAACAGGAUGGCAACUAGUGUCUGCCACAUCCCUAAUUUUUCUUCUGCUAUACUGCCUCAUGUGACUAACAGCCAAAAAACCUUACCAGUCUGUGUUUGGUGUGAAUGUCAUGGGCUAAAAGAAUUCUGUCUUCUUUGCCAGCCUCAAUGAGAGAAACCACCUUGUCCAUUCUCUGUGCAUCAGAAGGCAUGUCUACUGUGGGGCUCAUCUGAUACAAUAUUGGAUUAAAAUAUAAAAUUUGAUUUGGGCUUCAUGUAAAGUAAGGUUUAUAGCUGAUUGGUACAUUUU